rnacentral:sRNA from 1 species
GGGAUCAGAAAACACGCUGGUUAAUGAGUGGCCAAGAACAUAUCAGCUUAAGUUUGGGAAAAACACACAACAGGGCAUUGUGUCAGAGGGUGACCGAAGUGGCUCCCCAGCAGAUGGAUCAGGGAAUGAACAGGUGACCUUUGAACUGAGGCCGGAGUGGCAGCAGCGAGGGUGUGAAGGUCUGGGUGAGGGUCAAAGGCAGAAGCAAGCAGGUGGGGAGGGUUAGCGUCAUGCCUCCUAAGGAGCAGUGGACGGGUCCUAGCACGUGCUAUGAGCCACCCGCUGUCCAGGGAGCAGUUACCUCUGUCUUGCCAGCUUCGUGGGGACAGACAGUUCAGCUCAUCAUUUAUGAGACAGAAAACGGGAAUCUGGAGGGUCUGUGGCUGGCCUCGUCCUGGGUGUACAGGGGGUCACCUGAGGUGUGGUCUGAGGCCUCCGGGGAAGGGCAUUUCUUUGCAGGACGCAGUUUCCAGGCUCAAGAGGGUGGAGGGAAUUCCUAAGGGUCGCUCUUCACCAAGAGCGCAGGGCCCUGGUAGACCUCAGCAUCGUCACGGAGAAAGCUGUGGGCGCAGAGGCGUUGGGGACAAGGCGGGGACGGAAUUUCGUAUUUCAGAUGACCAAGGCCAUUGGCCAAGUGUGAGUUCUUCAACGCGGGUGGGAGCGUGAAGGACCGCAUCAGCCUGCGGAUGAUUGAGGAUGCUGAGCGCGACGGGACGCUGAAGCCCGGGGACACGAUUAUCGAGCCGACAUCCGGGAACACCGGGAUCGGGCUGGCCCUGGCUGCAGCUGUGAGGGGCUAUCGCUGCAUCAUCGUGAUGCCAGAGAAGAUGAGCUCCGAGAAGGUGGAUGUGCUGCGGGCACUGGGGGCUGAGAUUGUGAGGACGCCCACCAAUGCCAGGUUCGACUCCCCGGAGUCACACGUGGGGGUGGCCUGGCGGCUGAAGAACGAAAUCCCCAAUUCUCACAUCCUAGACCAGUACCGCAACGCCAGCAACCCCCUGGCUCACUAUGACACCACCGCUGAUGAGAUCCUGCAGCAGUGUGACGGGAAGCUGGACAUGCUGGUGGCUUCAGUAGGCACAGGCGGCACCAUCACGGGCAUUGCCAGGAAGCUGAAGGAGAAGUGUCCUGGAUGCAGGAUCAUUGGGGUGGAUCCCGAAGGGUCCAUCCUCGCGGAGCCAGAGGAGCUGAACCAGACGGAGCAGACAACCUAUGAGGUGGAAGGGAUCGGCUACGACUUCAUCCCCACGGUGCUGGACAGGACGGUGGUGGACAAGUGGUUCAAGAGCAACGAUGAGGAGGCGUUCACCUUUGCCCGCAUGCUGAUCGCGCAAGAGGGGCUGCUGUGUGGUGGCAGUGCCGGCAGCACGGUGGCGGUGGCUGUGAAAGCCGCGCAGGAGCUGCAGGAGGGCCAGCGCUGCGUGGUCAUUCUGCCUGACUCAGUGCGGAACUACAUGACCAAGUUCCUGAGCGACAGGUGGAUGCUGCAGAAGGGCUUUCUGAAGGAGGAGGACCUCACGGAGAAGAAGCCCUGGUGGUGGCACCUCCGAGUUCAGGAGCUGAGCCUGUCAGCCCCACUGACCGUGCUCCCGACCGUCACCUGUGAGCACACCAUUGAGAUCCUCCGGGAGAAGGGCUUCGACCAGGCGCCCGUGGUGGACGAGGCGGGGGUAAUCCUGGGAAUGGUGACGCUUGGGAACAUGCUGUCGUCCCUGCUUGCCGGGAAGGUGCAGCCGUCAGACCAAGUUGGCAAAGUCAUCUACAAGCAGUUCAAACAGAUCCGCCUCACGGACACGCUGGGCAGGCUCUCGCACAUCCUGGAGAUGGACCACUUCGCCCUGGUGGUGCACGAGCAGAUCCAGUACCACAGCACCGGGAAGUCCAGUCAGCGGCAGAUGGUGUUCGGGGUGGUCACCGCCAUUGAUUUGCUGAACUUCGUGGCCGCCCAGGAGCGGGACCGGAAGUGAAGUCCGGAGCGCUGAGCGGUGCGGAGCGGGCCCGCCACCCUCGCCCACUUCUUCGCUUUCCUGAGCCCUAAACACACACGUGAUUGGUAACUGCCUGGCCUGGCACCCGUUAUCCCUGCAGACGGCGCGGAGCAUCCGUCUCCCCUCAUUAACCCAUGGCUUCCUAAAUGGCCCUGUUUACGGCCUAUGAGAUGAAAUAUGUGAUUUUCUCUAAUGUAACUUCCUCUUAGGAUGUUUCACCAAGGAAAUAUUGAGAGAGAAGUCGGCCAGGUAGGAUGAACACAGGCAAUGACUGGGCAGAGUGGAUCAAAGGCAAAAGAGAGAAGAGUCCAGGAAGGGGGCGGGGAGAAGCCUGGGUGGCUCAGCAUCCUCCACGGGCAGCGCCGUCUGCUCGGGGCUGAGCUGGCGGGAGCAGUUUGAGUGUUUGGGUUUUUAAAUUGAGAUGAAAUUCAAAUAACCUGCAAACCAAUCACUUUAAAGUGAACAAUCAGCGGCAUUUAGUACAUCCAGAAAGUUGUGUAGGCAUCGCCUCUGUCACAUUCCGGAACAUUCUGUCAUCACCCUAUGAAGCAAUCAUUUCCCCUCCCGUCUUCCUCCUUCCCUGACAACUGCUAAUCGACUUUGUGUCUCUGUUGUCUAAAAUAGGUUUUCCCUGUUCUGGACAUUUCAUAUAAAUGGAAUCACACAA